CGAACGCUGGCGGCGUGCUUAACACAUGCAAGUCACGGGGGUAGGCGAUACCAACCGGCGAACGGGUGCGUAACACGUGAGCGACCUGCCUCUCCGCGGGGGAUAGCCGGCCCAACGGCCGGGUAAUACCGCAUACGGUCCGCCGGGGGCGAUCCCGGGCGGAGGAAACCUCCGGGGCGGAGAGAGGGGCUCGCGGCCUAUCAGCUAGUUGGCGGGGUGACGGCCCACCAAGGCGGUGACGGGUAGCUGGUCUGAGAGGANGGCCAGCCACAUUGGGACUGAGAGACGGCCCAGACUCCUACGGGAGGCAGCAGUGGGGAAUCUUGCGCAAUGGGCGGAAGCCUGACGCAGCGACGCCGCGU
rnacentral:rRNA from 1 species